rnacentral:rRNA from 1 species
CCUAAUUAAGAACCCCACCCCAAUAUUAAACAAUUCUAUAAAAUUUAUAGAAACUUUUAUGUUAAAACUAGUAACAAGAAUAAAAAAUUCUCCUUAAUGCAAAUGUAAAUCAGACAGGAUACACCGCUGAUAAUCAACGCCCAUGAGCCAGUAGUAGCAACCCAGCAAGAAAACCCUCCUUUUCCCAACGUUAACCUUACACAAGAGCAUUUUAAGAAAGAUUAAAAGAAUAAGAAGGAACUCGGCAAAAUCUAACCCCGCCUGUUUACCAAAAACAUCGCCUCUUGGAACCCAUAAGAGGUCCAGCCUGCCCAGUGACCCUGUUCAACGGCCGCGGUAUCCUAACCGUGCGAAGGUAGCGUAAUCACUUGUUCUUUAAAUGAGGACUAGUAUGAAUGGCACCACGAAGGUUAUACUGUCUCCUUCCUCUAAUCAGUGAAACUAAUCUCCCCGUGAAGAAGCGGGGAUAAACCUAUAAGACGAGAAGACCCUAUGGAGCUUUAAACACAGUAAUAAAUGCCCCCCCCCCCUUUUUCUAUUCAAAUCUCCGGAAAACUACUUUAUCUGAGCAUCCUAUUUACAAGUUUUAGGUUGGGGUGACCGCGGAGUAAAAAAUAACCUCCACAGUGAAUGGAAUCUUUUUCCUAAACUCAGGGCCACAACCCUAAAAAUCAAUAAAUUGACACCCAUUGACCCAAUAUUUUGAUCAAUGAACCAAGUUACCCUAGGGAUAACAGCGCAAUCCACUUCAAGAGCUCCUAUCGACAAGUGGGUUUACGACCUCGAUGUUGGAUCAGGGUACCCCAGUGGUGCAGCCGCUGCUAAAGGUUCGUUUGUUCAACGAUUAAAACCCUACGUGAUCUGAGUUCAGACCGGAGUAAUCCAGGUCAGUUUCUAUCUAUAAAGAGUUUCUUCUAGUACGAAAGGACCGAAAAAACAUGGCCAAUGCCACCUGUAAGCCAUACAACCUAUUUAUGACACAGCCUCAAUAAAAAAUAUGUCUCUAAAACAGCUUAAGAAAAGAGCA